AUGCAUCAAGGUGAUGUUUUUUAUUAUUUCAACACCAAGUUGUUAUCUUUUGUCCCAUUGUUCUGUUCUGUGCCUCACCCUCAUCAAAGUCUGGUGAUUCUUAUUAAUUAUUUCACGGGAUAAAUUCAGAGUCUUUGGACCAAAUGAUUACAUGGAGGGAUGGACACAGUCACAGAGAGAAUUUAGAAGAUCCUUUGAAACUACUCCUUGGGAUGAUUUUCUCAAAGCUACCCUGAUAUUUUUUUAAAGAGGAGAUGCCCUGAACAACUCCUUUGAUCCAGAGUGAAACAUUAUACUCUGGUUUCUGGUAAGAAAAACAUGAAUGAUGAAUGCUGGAUUUUGGCUUUAGGGGUUGGUGUCACCUCCCCUUCCAACCUCUCCCCACACUACAUUUUCCAGCACAAGCUUUUCGUUAAUUUGAGGUUGGAUGUGUAAAUGUUCUCCUGGGUGACCAAACGUCACAUCAAACUGAAUAUUCACUAGAAAAAUGCACAGAGGGAAAAGCACUGGAAAUUGGGUGCCUUUGAAAAAUCUCACCCGUUCUCAGCAUCCUUCCCCUCCACUCUCAUGGGUUUUAAAUAUUAAAACAAGGAGCUGUUGGCUUUGAUACAGAAGUAGUCUAAUUCUCUGCCCAAGGUAUUUCCCUUCCUGGCUCUCUUCCCUUUCAACUCAGAGUGAUAUAUUUUUUUUUAAUAUAUAUUUUUUAAUUCUGCAGUAUUUGCCUAUUUCCAACACCUCCCCCACGUGGCACAGUGUCAAAUCAGCAGCAAGCAGGCCAGCAGAAAAGCAUAUUCCCAUUACUCUCAGCGCUACAGUGAAAGAUUUUAAGACAUAGCCAGUAAAUUGAGUCUUCUGCAGUGUAGCUGCUAAGCAGAAGUCCUUCUUGCAAGAAUAUCACCAUGUGCUGUGCGUAACAAGGAGCCAGCAGGCUACUGCUGUUAGUGCAGAUGGUUGGAGGGUCAGCCUCAUGGUGCCCAGGCUUCUGGAUGGUUUUCCUAGAAAGCAAAGCUACAAGUCUGGGGAGAAAAUGCAAGACCACAACCAAGGUCUGAGAGCCCCAUGAUGCACUGUUGAGUGGGUUUGCCUCUAUCAGGCUCAGUAACUAAUCAUGAACAGACACUAAUAGUCAUGAUUCCUCAUCCAGGUAUGUUCCUGUGAGAGUAAGGUCCACAGGCAAGUGUGAAAUUUCCCCUUAGAAUCUGUUUUUCCUUCACUAAUUCCCUCCUGCUAUUAUUUUUGUCUCAUAUCAAAGUCUAAAAGGACUUGUCUAUUUGAGAAAAGAGAUAGAGGUGCGCACGAAGCAUAUGAUCCAAGAACCACUUUCCAUUCUAUUAGCCCACUAAGACAUAAACAAAUUACUAAGAAAACACUGUAGUUUCCUUUUUCUCCAAAGCAAACUAAAUCCUCACCCUGCAUGGGCAAUUACACAGUCAACAUGUGAUUAGAUUAUCACAAGGUGGCCAUGGCCAGACCUAGCAACUGGAUAAAAUGGUAUUUUGGGAUAUCCACAGAUGGUACUUUGGGAUACAAUUGCUCUUUAAAGAUUUAAACUUCAGCUGGUUUCAAGAAGAUAAGCACAUGUAGGUCUGUGCUUUGCUCCAAGCCCUGGGAUUUUAUCUUUUCCUGUCUUUACUGACCCAAAAAUGAAGGUCUUUCUGUACAGCUCUUACCACAUCAGCACAACACUUCUACUCAGUGAAGAACAAUAUACAUCUUUCUGCUUCAAAAUGUUCAAAUGCCACAAUGAUUUUGGGAAAGAAACUGAACAUGGGAAUAUGGCCAUGGAAGCCAAGCUCCAGAAAGAAGUAUGAGCACCAGGCUUUUGCUGUGGAUAUCUGGUGCCCUACAACACUUUCACUACUGCUAUGAAGUUCUAUUUAUUUCAUCACAGACCAUUGCUCUUUGCCUAUUCUAGCUGUUGUUAAUUAACAAUGUCUGUCUCAGUUGCCACUAUCAUAUUAAUCUGGUUUCAUGUAGUUUAUAGCAGACCAAAAUGUUUCCAUCUUUAUUACUUUUCUGCUGCUCCUUCUGUAAGAAACAAAGAUAAAUACUGAUCAGUCUGACAGAUAAAUCAAACACAACUAACUGGAUUAUUUUCAUUAAGUAAAAUUUAUCAUGCAUUCAUUACAUACACCUUACUCCUUGAGAACAAAGUAGCUUUCUUGGAUCAUAAUAAGUAAGUGUAUUGCUUGCUAGGAGAUAUGUGGAGCAUAUUUCUUGCCAUAAGGAGUACUGUGGGCCUCUGCAAAGCAAAAGUUUAUGCCUUUAAAAAUCCCUGAUACCACACGUUUAGUAACAAAAACUGACUAUACAGCCUUGCAGUGCAGACUAACCUGUAUUUUAUUUAAGUCAACUUCACCAGCUUCUAGUUGGUCUGCAAUCUUGACCCACAGAACUUCCUUGCAAACCAACUGAGAGUCAAGGAUGUCAAGUCAAGCAUCAUUAGAAAAGAUGAAUAUCCCAGCUCACGUGAGGAUGUCUCAUUCCUCAGUGCCAUCAAUAACUCUGUCCAUAGUUUGAAAACAAGACUUUUACAUGGAGGUGUCUGAACAUCUGUGUCUGCAUGUAAACUGAGUGUCUAGGCUGCCAUAAUAUCAGCAGAGAUAAGUGGCUCUUUGUGAUACCAACUGAUCCCUCAAGAUAGUCAAAAUAUCUGUACAUCUCUAGUAUGGCAGAUGGCAGAUGUAAUCAGAGACCUUUGGGAGACUCUUCUGUGGCCACAGCUGGAGCUCAUACAGAGGAACUUUGGGACAUCUCAAAGACACAGGGCACCAUGGUGGGAAGGGAGUCUGUAACGUACCCAAUACAGUCCAAUGACUGCAGGGAACAGUUCACACCAUCACCUGAUGUGGGUCUCCGUUAGAGAAAGAUGAAUUUCUUUGCAGGCUUCACAGGCUGUAUUGACUGAAUUUCUACUAUGAUGGGAACUCGGAUGCCUGGUUGCCAUUUGAACACAACGUUAAACGCCAAAAUUUUGUCGUUUUAA